AGUCGAACGAACCUUCGGGUUAGUGGCGGACGGGUGAGUAACGCGUGAGAAUCUGCCCUCAGGAGGGGGAUAACGGCUGGAAACGGCCGCUAAUACCCCAUAUGCCGAGAGGUGAAAUGAAUUUCGCCUGAGGAUGAGCUCGCGUCUGAUUAGCUAGUUGGUGGGGUAAGAGCCCACCAAGGCUUCGAUCAGUAGCUGGUCUGAGAGGAUGAUCAGCCACACUGGGACUGAGACACGGCCCAGACUCCUACGGGAGGCAGCAGUGGGGAAUUUUCCGCAAUGGGCGCAAGCCUGACGGAGCAACGCCGCGUGAGGGAUGAAGGCCUCUGGGCUGUAAACCUCUUUUAUCAAGGAAGAAGAUCUGACGGUACUUGAUGAAUAAGCCACGGCUAAUUCCGUGCCAGCAGCCGCGGUAAUACGGGAGUGGCAAGCGUUAUCCGGAAUUAUUGGGCGUAAAGCGUCCGCAGGCGGUCUUGUAAGUCUGUCGUUAAAGCGUGGAGCUUAACUCCAUUUCGGCGAUGGAAACUACAAGACUAGAGUGUGGUAGGGGCAGAGGGAAUUCCCGGUGUAGCGGUGAAAUGCGUAGAUAUCGGGAAGAACACCAGUGGCGAAGGCGCUCUGCUGGGCCAUAACUGACGCUCAUGGACGAAAGCCAGGGGAGCGAAAGGGAUUAGAUACCCCUGUAGUCCUGGCCGUAAACGAUGAACACUAGGUGUCGGGGGAAUCGACCCCCUCGGUGUCGUAGCCAACGCGUUAAGUGUUCCGCCUGGGGAGUACGCACGCAAGUGUGAAACUCAAAGGAAUUGACGGGGGCCCGCACAAGCGGUGGAGUAUGUGGUUUAAUUCGAUGCAACGCGAAGAACCUUACCAGGGUUUGACAUCCUGCGAAUCCCUUGGAAACGAGGGAGUGCCUUCGGGAGCGCAGAGACAGGUGGUGCAUGGCUGUCGUCAGCUCGUGUCGUGAGAUGUUGGGUUAAGUCCCGCAACGAGCGCAACCCACGUCUUUAGUUGCCAGCAUUUAGUUGGGCACUCUAGAGAGACCGCCGGUGAUAAACCGGAGGAAGGUGUGGAUGACGUCAAGUCAUCAUGCCCCUUACAUCCUGGGCUACACACGUACUACAAUGCUACGGACAAAGGGCAGCAAACUCGCGAGAGCUAGCAAAUCCCAUAAACCGUGGCUCAGUUCAGAUCGUAGGCUGCAACUCGCCUACGUGAAGGCGGAAUCGCUAGUAAUCGCAGGUCAGCAUACUGCGGUGAAUACGUUCCCGGGCCUUGUACACACCGCCCGUCACACCAUGGAAGUUGGCCACGCCCGAAGUCGUUACUCCAACCCUUGUGGAGGAGGACGCCGAAGGUGGGGCUGAUGACUGGGGUGAAGUCGU
rnacentral:rRNA from 1 species